AUUGAACGCUGGCGGCAUGCCUUACACAUGCAAGUCGAACGGCAGCGGACCUUCGGGUGCCGGCGAGUGGCGAACGGGUGAGUAAUGCAUCGGAACGUGCCAUUGAGUGGGGGAUAACGUAGCGAAAGUUACGCUAAUACCGCAUAUUCUGUGAGCAGGAAAGCAGGGGACCGCAAGGCCUUGCGCUCUUUGAGCGGCCGAUGUCAGAUUAGCUAGUUGGUGAGGUAAAGGCUUACCAAGGCGACGAUCUGUAGCGGGUCUGAGAGGAUGAUCCGCCACACUGGAACUGAGACACGGUCCAGACUCCUACGGGAGGCAGCAGUGGGGGAAUUUUGGACAAUGGGCGCAAGCCUGAUCCAGCCAUGCCGCGUGAGUGAAGAA
rnacentral:rRNA from 1 species